rnacentral:rRNA from 1 species
UACGUAGGGGGCAAGCGUUAUCCGGAUUUACUGGGUGUAAAGGGAGCGUAGACGGCUGUGCAAGUCUGGAGUGAAAACCCGGGGCUCAACCCCGGGAUUGCUUUGGAAACUGUGUAGCUGGAGUACCGGAGAGGUAAGUGGAAUUCCUAGUGUAGCGGUGAAAUGCGUAGAUAUUAGGAGGAACACCAGUGGCGAAGGCGGCUUGCUGGACGGUAACUGACGUUGAGGCUCGAAAGCGUGGGGAGCAAACAGG